AAAACCUUCCUCCGGGUUGGUAAGACGUACAAAGUCAAAAUAUGGCAGUCCAGAAUUGUGGAAGUCUAUGGUCACACUUAGCUACUUGAGAAACACCGUCAAACAGGGACAUUUAGCAAUUAUUACAUCGACUA